UACGGAGGGGGCUAGCGUUGUUCGGAAUUACUGGGCGUAAAGCGCACGUAGGCGGACUGUUAAGUCGGGAGUGAAAGCCCGGGGCUCAACCCCGGAAUGUCUCUCGAAACUGUCGAGCUAGAGUGCAGAAGAGGCAACUGGAAUUCCCAGUGUAGCGGUGAAAUGCGUAGAUAUUGGGAAGAACACCUGAGGCGAAGGCGGGUUGCUGGGCUGACACUGACGCUGAGGCGCGAAAGCCAGGGGAGCGAACGGG
rnacentral:rRNA from 1 species